UAGAACACUCGAUUUGGUGAUAAAUAUUUCAAACUGAAAAUGACUUCAACAAACAAAAUAAUUUGGAGUACAUUUUUGGAGCAACUACACACAAAUCACGAUGCUUGUGUACGUGGUGGAUGAUUCCCCCACCUUCCUCUUCCUCUUCCUCUACUGCAUCAUCUUCCUCCUCUUCUUUUUUCUUCUCUUUCGCUUCGUCGUUCUUCUCAUCUUUCUCCUUCUCCUCUUACUCCUCUGCUCCGACCUCGUUCACCUCAUCGCUGCCUUAUCUCCUUGAAACCUUCAAGGCAUCGCAAUUGAAAUCAAUUUAUUGAAGAAAUUAUGUACUCUUUUGUUUCUGUAAAUUUUAAGGAGAGGCUUUAUUUCUAACUGGGCUGAAUGCUGAGCUUUUAAAAUUGAUGAAAGCCCAAAUCUGAAAAGCCUAGCCCAAGUAUUUUCAACCUAAAAUUGGUACUCCCAUUAAAGGAGCUCAAAACCUACGCCUUUUUUCAGUGUUACACAGCAAGCAAGGAAGCGCCGUAGGCUGAGAAAGAUUUCUCACUCACUAUGAGAGCCAAGUGGAAGAAGAAGCGUAUGAGGAGAUUGAAGAGGAAGCGCCGAAAGAUGAGGCAGAGAUCCAAGUAGUUUGUCCAUUUAUAAUAUUUUCUAGUUAAGUUUGGUGUUAAUUUCGUUUUGGAUAAUCUCAAUUUGCAACACUACUUUGCUACCCUGCAUUCGGAUAUAAACCAGUUGAACGUAUGAAUUAAUGUUUUUUUUAUGGAUUAAUGCCUACUCUGUUUCAUUAUACGUAAAAUUGGUGGUUAUUGCUUUUGAUUUUUGAUUUUAUUUUAUUCCGCUGUACGAUGUUUGUAGAAAAUACGAUUUCAGGCUCAUAUUAGAAUCAAUGGUUUAGAGUUGGUUUGUUUCCAGUAUUACUUGUUUCUUUAAGUGCUACAGAUUGGCUAUUCGCUUCCUGUAUCUCCGAGGAUGCAAUAACAUCUACGAAUACUGUUUUGGAAAUAUGUGGCAUUGCAGUGUUUGCCUAACUCCAUUUGACUGUUCCCUUCCUUAGGAAACUAAUAGUACUAGUAUAAAGGAACAUUGAAAAAUUCCAUUAGCACAUUUAAGUCAUUAUAUUUUCUCUCAUAAUUUAUCUUCAAAUUCACUCAUAAUUUCUCCUUUAUUUCUCCUAAUUCCACCAUCUCUGGCUAUCCUAAUUAAUUCCAAGCAUAGCUUCCAUAACUUAUUUUAAAUGAGAAUUGAUCUAAACAUUUAUUAUGGGAUCUAAACAGUAUGCCAUGAUUUCGAAUGACUUCUUGACACACUCCUUGUCUCAUUUUUUUGUUUCAUAUACUGUUGUGUAUUGGCGCAUACUGCAAAUUUGUUAUAUACCAAAAAUUAUGGCAAACAUCAUAAUUUUGUAUACAGCAGUAUUUAUAUAUACCAUUAAUAUACUAUCUUAGAGGAAAGUUGAAACCCUAACUCACAAUCAUGUUCUUCAAAGGCUUCAGUGUCUCCACCCUACCUGACUCUCUUCUUCUACCCCCACCUCCAGCCAGGCAACAAUAGUUUUCUUCCAGCCACCUUUGUUAUCCUUUUCGAUCCUACACUGCUUCUUCCCAGCACUCUUCCCAGGUCCUCAUUCUCUGCCUAGAAUCAGUCAGCUAUUUGGAUAUAUUUGAACUGGUGCUUAGAUUGUGCUAGUGUUGGAACACAGAAUAUCUGCAUCAAGCGAUUUGCUGCUCCAUAUUUAGGUGAUGGGAUGUUUUGAAUCCCAGUCCGUAUGCAUUUCCCUUCCCAGUCCGUGUGAGUUUCAUUUGAUUAUCAUUGAUUAAUUAAAUCAUUGACUCCGUUACUCUUCUGGGAUUGCUGCAAUCUUCUCCCAGGGAGAGUUUGUGGCUUUGAGCUUGAUAGUCGUUUUUAAAAGUAAAUGGAGUUCUGGUAGCACUAACUUUUGUGGAGUAGUUCAAUUGUACAAAGAUAUGGAAUCAGUUGAACGGGCAUAAGUCAGGGUCCCCGUCUCCAACUUAGGUUUUCUGGUGCACAUGAAUCCAUGAUUGCAUACAUCUUUCUGAAACCAGAUCUCAUGUUGCAUCAUCUUUUUAGCUACCCAACAUCUUCUCUUACUGGAUCAUGAAAGGAGAGUUGGUGAUCCUCAAGCUUAUGAGGGGAAUGCUGAGGACAUUCCUUACACGGUAUGAUAAUCUGCUUGAUCAAGAUGUUAGAGAAGAAGACGAUGCCUUGCCCGUAGAUGUUAAGGAGGGCCAAUUUGCAGUCCAUACACUUGAUGAUGACACUUUGAGGAGGUCAGUUGUGGAGCUGAGUUACCUAUCCGACCCUCGAUUUCUGAAGCUGUUAGAGCAAGCGGAGCAAGAGUUCGGUUUUGGACAGAUGGGCAUUCUCGUCAUUCCAUGCACACAUAAUCUCUUCAGUCUGUAAUUGGGAGGAAGUGAAGAGAUUGUUAUCUACGUAUUUUUCAAGGAUUUGCAUGUGUAUCUUGUCCAAGGUUUUCUAGUUCUAGUUAUCAAUCGGUGCGUACAAAUA